ensembl:snRNA U6 U6 spliceosomal RNA
AUGCUCACUUCAGCAGCACAUAUAUUAAAAUUGGAAAGAUACACAGAAGAUUAGCAUGACAUCUACACAAUAAUGACUUGAAAAUUUGUGAAGUGUUCCAUAUUUUG